CCGGUUGAUCCUGCCAGAGGCUACUGCUAUCGGGGUCCGACUAAGCCAUGCGAGUUGAGAGGGGUAAGCCCUCGGCAUAUUGCUCAGUAACACGCGGAUAACCUGCCCUUGGGUCCGGGAUAACCCCGGGAAACUGGGACUAAUACCGGAUAGAUCAAGGAUACUGGAAUGUUCUCUGGUCCAAAACUCCGGUGCCCAAGGAUGGGUCUGCGGCCUAUCAGGUAGUAGUGGGUGUAGCGUACCUACUAGCCUACGACGGGUAAGGGUUGUGAGAGCAAGAGCCCUGAGAUGGAUUCUGAGACAUGAAUCCAGGCCCUACGGGGUGCAGCAGGCGCGAAAACUUUACACUGCGGGAAACCGCGAUAAGGGGACCCCGAGUGCCAGCACCUAGUGCUGGCUGUCCUACUGUCUAAAUAACAGUGGUUAGCAAGGGCCGGGCAAGACCGGUGCCAGCCGCCGCGGUAACACCGGCGGCCCGAGUGGUAACCGUUAUUAUUGGGUUUAAAGGGUCCGUAGCCGGCCUAUUAAGUCUCUUGGGAAAUCUGGCGACUUAAUCGUCAGGCGUCCAAGAGAUACUGAUAGGCUUGGGACCGGGAGAGGUGGGAGGUACUCCAGGGGUAGGGGUGAAAUCUCGUAAUCCUUGGGGGACCACCGAUGGCGAAGGCAUCCCACCAGAACGGGUCCGACGGUGAGGGACGAAAGCUGGGGGCACGAACCGGAUUAGAUACCCGGGUAGUCCCAGCUGUAAACGAUGCUCGCUAGGUGUCAGGUGCGGUGCGACCGCAUCUGGUGCCGCAGUGAAAACUUGAAGCGAGUCACCUGGGAAGUACGGUCGCAAGGCUGAAACUUAAAGGAAUUGGCGGGGGAGCACUACAACGGGUGGAGCCUGCGGUUCAAUUGGAUUCAACGCCGGG
rnacentral:rRNA from 1 species